AUACGGAGGAUCCGAGCGUUAUCCGGAUUUAUUGGGUUUACAGGGUGCGCAGGAGGCCAUUUAAGUCAGCGGUUAAAUCGUGGGGCUCAACCCCAUUCUGACGUUGAUACUGGGUGGCUUGAUUGCGGUCGAGGUUGGCGGUAUUCGUUGUGUAGCGGUGAAAUGCAUAGAUAUGACGAAGAACACCGAGUGCGUAGGCAGCUGGCCAGACCGCAAAUGACGCUCAGACACGAAAGGGCGGGGAUCGAACAGGAUUAGAUAGCCUGGUAGUCCGCAGAAUAAACGAUGAAGACUUGUUUUCGGCGAUAUAAUGUCGGAGGCAAAGCGAAAACGAUAAGUAUUCCGCCUUGGGAGUACGCCGGCAACGGUGAAACUCAAAUGAAUUGACGGGG
rnacentral:rRNA from 1 species